rnacentral:rRNA from 1 species
UACGUAGGUGGCGAGCGUUGUCCGGAUUAUUGGGCGUAAAGCGCGCGCAGGCGGUGCGGUAAGUCUGUCGUGAAAUCUCCCCGGCUCAAACUGGGGAGGGUGCGGUGGAGACUGCCGGACUGGAGGCACUCGAGAGGCCGGUGGAAUUCCCGGUGUAGUGGUGAAAUGACGUAGAGAUCGGGAGGAACAUCUGGUGGCGGAAGGCGGCCGUCUGGACCAGCACUGACACUGGAAGGCACGGAAAGGCGUGGGGAUGCAAACACGG